rnacentral:rRNA from 1 species
GAUGAACGCUGACAGAAUGCUUAACACAUGCAAGUCGAUGGGGAAGUGGUGCUUGCACCAUGGUAACCAUGGCGGACGGGUGAGUAACGCGUAAGGAACUUGCCUGCGGGACUGGGAUAACAGCAGGAAACUGCUGAUAAUACCGGAUAAGGUCAUUAAGCUGCAUAGCUUAGUGAUGAAAGGAGACGCCUGCGGAGAGCCUUGCGUCCUAUUAGCUAGUUGGAGGGGUAACGGCCCACCAAGGCGAAGAUAGGUAGCCGGCCUGAGAGGGUGGACGGCCACAAGGGGACUGAGAUACGGCCCUUACUCCUACGGGAGGCAGCAGUGGGGAAUAUUGGACAAUGGGGGCAACCCUGAUCCAGCAAUUCUGUGUGCACGAAGACGGUUUUCGGAGUGUAAAGUGCUUUCAGCAGGGAAGAAGGAAGUGACGGUACCUGCAGAAGAAGCGACGGCUAAAUACGUG